rnacentral:rRNA from 1 species
GGGUUGUGAGGUUAAGCGACUAAGCGUACACGGUGGAUGCCCUGGCAGUCAGAGGCGAUGAAGGGCGUGCUAAUCUGCGAUAAGCGCCGGUAAGGUGAUAUGAACCGUUAUAACCGGCGAUACCCGAAUGGGGAAACCCAGUGUGU